CGGGACGUGGCGCAGCUUGGUAGCGCACUCGGCUGGGGGUCGAGUGGUCGUCGGUUCGAAUCCGGCCGUCCCGACCA
rnacentral:tRNA from 1 species